GAUGAACGCUGGCGGCGUGCUUAACACAUGCAAGUCGAACGAAGCACUUUAUUACGAUUUCUUCGGAAUGACGAUUUAGUGACUGAGUGGCGGACGGGUGAGUAACGCGUGGGUAACCUGCCUUAUACAGGGGGAUAACAGUUAGAAAUGACUGCUAAUACCGCAUAAGCGCACAGGAUUGCAUGAUCUGGUGUGAAAAACUCCGGUGGUAUAAGAUGGACCCGCGUCUGAUUAGCUAGUUGGCAGGGCAACGGCCUACCAAGGCGACGAUCAGUAGCCGACCUGAGAGGGUGACCGGCCACAUUGGGACUGAGACACGGGCCCAAACUCCUACGGGAGGCAGCAGUGGGGAAUAUUGCACAAUGGGGGAAACCCUGAUGCAGCGACGCCGCGUGAGCGAAGAAGUAUUCGGUAUGUAAAGCUCUAUCAGCAGGGAGAGAAAUGACGGUACCUGACUAAGAAGCACCGGCUAAAUCGUGCCAGCA
rnacentral:rRNA from 1 species